rnacentral:rRNA from 1 species
UACGUAGGGUGCAAGCGUUGUCCGGAAUUAUUGGGCGUAAAGAGCUUGUAGGCGGUUUGUCGCGUCGGCUGUGAAAUCCCGAGGCUCAACCUCGGGUCUGCAGUCGAUACGAGCAAACUAGAGUGUUGCAGGGGAGACUGGAAUUCCUGGUGUAGCGGUGAAAUGCGCAGAUAUCGGGAGGAACACCAGUGGCGAAGGCGGCGAUCUGGGAAGAUACUGACGCUGAGGUGCGAAAGCGUGGGGAGCAAACAGG